GUGUGUGUGUGUGUGUGUGUGUGUGUGUGUGUGUGUGUGUGUGUGUGUGUGUGUGUGCGUUUGUCAAAGUGACAUAUGGGGACAUUUUUAUGAAAUUUCACCUUACAUAUGAGGACCUGUUGAAAUAUGGGGACAUUUUCCAUGUCCCCAUAUUUCCCGCAAUGCUAUCGUGUUCUAGACCCUCCCAGCAUGUUCCCAGACCAAAAAUCUCUGAAGUCUUCAUUUGUCAAAUUUUCAGAAAAAGUGUGUGAAAGUGUGUUUAAUUUUUUUGCUCACCUUCGAUUUUGCCCCUAGUGGCCAUCUUUGCUAUUAGGACACACACACACACACACUUGUCCUCAUAUGUCAUAUGUCCUCAUAUGUCAUGUGGGUCAGAAACUCACACACUCCAACAUUUUGAAAAACAUCUAAUCAUUACAGCAAUAAACAUACUUUUAAAUUCUAAAUCAAAUAACACAUGUUCAACUGAUCUGAUGAUCUCAACCUUUUUUAUGUUAGUUUUAUCUAUUCAUUUGGUUUAUCUGGAGAGGAUUUGGGCUAGACAAUUAGUAAUAAAGGGAUUAUGGUGAUGAUUUAAUUGGUUUGAUUCAGUAUUUUACUGUAUUGGGCUUUUUGCUAUUAUGUUGACUAAAAUACAAUGCCGCACAAUAAUUAAUUUAAAUGUGCCUGAAAUGUAGGUUUUUGCAUAAACCUUGAUUGAGACAAAGGCAAUAAUUCAAAUGCAAUUCAAACUACAUACAGUAUUUAAUAUUUUCAAAUGGUUACAAUAGCACAUGAUUUUGGUAUUUUUAUCUUUGGGACAAAUUUUGGAUUCAAUUGGGGAUUGUUUUUGGAGGUAUUCACUUCACAUUGUGUUCAAGAUGGUUACUUCCGCCCACUCUGAAGAGUCUCGGCCUCUGAUUGGUCCAAUUUUCAGUUAGGCACCGCCUGAUUGGCCAGUGGAUGAUGUCGGAUCCUAACAGAGGGCUAAAUCACUAGUUAACUAUUUUCAUCUUGGAAGUUAUACAGCUCACGUAUCACACUUAAUAUUGAAUAUAUAUAAAAAGGGUUUUCCAAAAGGACCAUUUAUAAUUGAAAUACAAAACUUCACACACGAUUUUGAGCACAACAGAGCGCUCAGUGAACAUCACUUCCGGGACCUGCAGCACCUGAGGGGGACAUCUAUCUUGGUCACAAACCAUCUUUGACAGUCUUCGGCAGCAUGGUUGAAUCAGGCGCAUCAACACAUGAAAUAGACAUCGUGCCCAAAAGAAGAGCGAGACUUAAUCCUGAGGCUGAAGCCACCGAGUUUAUUUGAUCUGGAUGUGACAAGUCUUGUUUUAAGGCCCAGUGGAUCAAUGAUUGGAAAGACACCAACUGUUGAUGUUCUAUCUCAACAUUCUCCAGAUUCAUGUGAGCGAUAAACCGACUUCAUCCCUCCAACAGACACCAACUGUUGGGGUUCUAUCUCAACAUUCUCCAGAUUCAGAUGUGAGCGAUAAACCGACUUCAUCCCUCCAACAGAAACCAACUGUUGAGGUUCCAUCUCAACAUUCUCCAGAUUCAGAUGUGAGCCAUUAACUGACUUCAUCCCUCCAACAGAAACCAACUGUUGAGGUUCUAUCUCAACAUUCUCUGGAUUCAGAUGACAGCCAUAAACCGACUUCAUCCCUCCAACAGAAACCAACUGUUGAGGUUCCAUCUCAACAUUCUCCAGAUUCAGAUGUGAGCCAUUAACUGACUUCAUCCCUCCAACAGAAACCAACUGUUGAGGUUCUAUCUCAACAUUCUCUAGAUUCAGAUGACAGCCAUAAACCGACUUCAUCCCUCCAACAGGUU